UACAGAGGGUGCGAGCGUUGUUCGGAAUUACUGGGCGUAAAGCGCGCGCAGGCGGCUUUCUAAGUCCGUCGGUGAAAGACCGGGGCUCAACCCCGUGUCAGCCAUGGAUACUGGGAGGCUGGAGACAGGUAGAGGCAAGCGGAAUUCCGGGUGUAGCGGUGGAAUGCGUAGAUAUCCGGAAGAACACCGGUGGCGAAGGCGGCUUCCUGGACCGACACUGACGCUGAGGCGCGAAAGCUAGGGGAGCAAACGGG
rnacentral:rRNA from 1 species